CCAGGUCCCCAACAAACCCUAGACCGCCUCUCCUUCCCUCGCGCCGCCAGCGGUUUUCCCCUUUCUACUUCUCCUUCACGAUACAGGGCCAUGGCUACCUUACAGUAACCUUCACCACCGCACCUUCCCUCCAUGGCACCGUCAAACCAGGCCACCCCUCGCCGAGCUGAGACCACCGGCGGGUGCGCCUCAUCAUCCUCUACCUCCUGGUGCGAGGAAUCGAGUUGGUUCCGCUCCAAUCAACGCCAAGGUCGCCGUUUCCCCGCCACGGCCUCCGCGCUCCGGCGAACUUUCCAACGCCAUCCACCCUUCCCCGGCCUCCUCGUCUACGCCAUGAGCUUCAGGCAGCUCGUCGCCGGCGAUGCUCCGGUGCUUCCCCGGCUUGAACUCCAUCAGAUCUUGCAUCCCCGUGAAGCUCCGCAUCCAACGCGACACCUCCCACGUCCUGGCUUGGCCGGCGUGGCUAGAUCCAUCUCCGACCUGAUCCUCCGCCAUUGAUGCAGUGGGCAAGCUCGUCCCCGCCUACUGUCUAUUCUUCUUGACGUGUACCACUCACACGACAAGAACUGCAGCAUAGCCUAGUGUUUCGUUGCUGUGUCUUGAAUCCAUCAGAUCUUGUGUUCAACUCCCAGGGAAGGCAACAAUACCCACCUUUUUGAUUUCUUUUCCGACCUGACAGGUGGGUCCUGUCCGUCAGCCUCUACCGGCGCCACUUCAGCAACCCCUGCCUCGUCAGCCCCCUAGUCAGCACCUUGGACCCGCUCGUCAGUGACCGGGCUGAUUUUCCCUUCGCAUUUGCUUCUUCCCGGAUAGGAUCACGAAGUGGUGUGUGAGAUACGACGAGUUCUUCGACAAGUUCUUCUGCAGUUUUUCACAGGCGAGCCCACCCCUUCACCUAUUUUACAUUUACAUGCUCUUUUGAUCUAUUGCUAUCCCUAUGUUGCGAUUCUGUUGUGUCACGUGUCCUAUCCACCUGUUAUCUAUAUGUCCGAGAUACACCUCCUCGCCCUACCUAUUGUUUGUUGUUUGCCAGCUUCGCGAGUCGUAGGCGAGUUUAGGGUCUUGUUGAUAUCUCGAGAUGUUCGGGAUAUCUUGUUGGGAGGUUAUCACAUGCUAUAUCAGUUGUUGGAGAUAUUCACACUUUACUUUAUUGUUAACAACUAAAAUUGUAAGCAGAGGCAUCUGUGAGCCCCUUUGCGAAAGCAUCGGAACUUUGACUCGCUAAUGUCCCCUAGGACCCGAGUUCUUGUUAUCUGUUCCGAGACUGAGCGCUCUAACCACACGUGGGUAUGCUUACUGGGUCUUCCCUCGACCACUGCCGGAAUCUACAGCUUUGUCCAGUGGCCACAAUUAGUUUGAAUGUUUGUUUGCUUCUCCCGAGCGUGCAAGCUUGUUUCUUUGUGGUCAGAUGAUAUGAUGUUACUUUUGGGGAAGCCGUGAGUGCCUUGUAACCCCGUUGUCUCUUGCACGUCUGUAGGUGCGGCACGUAUUGUUAAGAGGUCAUCCUCUAGUGGGCUCUGAUCCUCUUAGCCGUUCUCGCAACAGCUAAGUCCGCUUCGGAGCACGGCCGGACUUCGAUACGGGUUAACUUAGUUAGGUGGCUUCCUGGACAUUGUUGUAGUGAAGGAGAGUGCGAGUCGUGAUAUCCACCUGUCGCAAGUGGGUUGAGCGUGCGUGUGGCUACAUUUGGGCACCCCUGCAGGGUUAAAUCUUAUCGAUAAGCCGCGUCCGCGGUUAUGGACGACUUGGAAUUGUAUAGCUCGAUCAUAGAACAACUUGCACCUUUAUGUUGUUGAUAAUAAUUUGCUAAUAACUUGAUUAGUAAUAUAGCAUUACUACAACCGAUAUCUAAUAAAACUUGUCCACCGUUGAGUGCCUUUUACAUUGCCUCUUCGCUUUGUUGAAGGGGAUAUGUGUAUUUGGCUGGGUUAUGUUUGUGUAGUUUUUAUCUGUUACCUUGUGCGCUCUCUUACCUUCUCUGAGUAGACGGAUGUUGUAGCGUGUCUCUAUUGGGUAUAGUUUUGCUACCGCUAAACCUACCAUAUAGCCCCAGGCGAUAUAUAUAUAUACUCGCCCGGCGAGCAUAGCCAUUUCUAGUCUCGCUAAGUACGUGCCGGAGUUCGUUCCUUGGUACUUACUCUCGCCUUUUCCCCUUCUCUUUUGCUUCCUCUCUUUUGUCGGCAACCGAUGGCCCGACUUUGGCAGGUACAAGAUGACGACGUUAGCAAGGUUACCCUUCCGGCUUGGCCUGGGCAGGGUUAUGGACGCCAUCGUUUAUCUUCAGGACUCUUAGUCCAAUUUGUAUCUUGUCCGUACUCGGAUGUAUUCGAUCUUCUGUAUGAUUUGGGUCUUUGUAUUGUAAAUUUGUAUCUUGACUCGUUGGAGUCGUUGUUGUAAUAUAUGUUUCUUGUGGGCUCUAUUGUAAUCCUGUUGUAAUGUUA